AUAUAUAUAUAUAUAUAUAUAUAUAUAUAUAUAUAUAUAUAUAUAUAUAUAUCAUGAACUAUAAUACAUAUUUGAUAAAGAGAUAAUCCAAGUACGACUUAAACGUAAUGAUUCAAUUCUAAAUGACUGUAAUUCUAAGUUUACACCAAUUUGACGGGAUCGGGUUUUACAUGCAUCAACCUGAUCUUUGGGUAAAUCACUCAUGCCAAACACAACUAACACUCACCUAAUCAACUGUCAGCUAUAGCUAGCUGCGAUUCAUGAGUUUCUUUUUUAUUAAGAAACAAGAUUCAUGAGCUUCCUGCAAAAGACAUAUUAUAAUCUGGGGAAAUCUGACAAUUUAUCUUGCACAGCCCUUUGUUCGGCUGGAAUGGAACUGAGUCUUGUACCGAAACAAGAAACAUCUUUAUUUUAUGAAACCGUAAUAGAUAGCCACAUAGAUAGAAAAGAUAGGAUAUUGUUUGUCA
rnacentral:lncRNA from 1 species